CACCGUCCGUGCAUUCCGGGAUCCUUGGGAUUGCCAACUCCUCCACUUAUUAGCUGUCCUAAAAGUCGCUAGAAGUCGCUAAAUGACGUUAUCGCCCAAUUUGCAUAAUUGACAAUGUGCAUGUAAUUGUGAUGGACGCUAUAGGAGAGAGGAAUAACUUUGUGGGAAAGACAAAAAGUACUCAGAAACACUCACAUCUGUGGACACAUCGAGGAGGAGGCUGAAACGCUGGUCACCCACAUCUGUGGACUCAUCGAGGAGGCUGAAACGCUGGUCACCCACAUCCGUGGACUCAUCGAGGAGUGGGCUGAAAUGCUGGUCACCCACAUCGGCAACAAACUUUUUCAGAAAGUAUGGUGCUAGAACACCAUUAAUCAUUUCUGUGCACUUUGACCUGUGCAUUUUUGAAGUGGGAAGCAGCAGUGGAGUCUGAGACAGCAGCUCUACAUGCUUCUCCAAUGUGAUCACAUGCGAGCAAGGAACAGUGUUCAGCGAUAGCUAAUGCCAUGAUGGCCUCAGCCUUUUUUGCAGAGUAAAUUUGUUAACCAUAAAUUGCAGCUUGUUUUGGGUGGAACUGUUACAAGGCUUUGCCUUUUUGAGUUGUCAUGUGUUUUUUUACAUCACUAAGUUUGGCGUAGAAAUCAGCCUUACAAUACAGGCAGUAUGCCCGUGUAUCAUCUCUAAUAAACGGCUUCAACCAGCCUUUGAAUUCAG